rnacentral:tRNA from 1 species
CGGGGUGUAGCGCAACUUGGUAGCGCGCCUGGUUUGGGACCAGGAAGUUGCAGGUUCAAAUCCUGUCACCCCGAC